rnacentral:rRNA from 1 species
CAAGUCGAACGCUUCUUUUUCCACCGGAGCUUGCUCCACCGGAAAAAGAGGAGUGGCGAACGGGUGAGUAACACGUGGGUAACCUGCCCAUCAGAAGGGGAUAACACUUGGAAACAGGUGCUAAUACCGUAUAACAAUCAAAACCGCAUGGUUUUGAUUUGAAAGGCGCUUUCGGGUGUCGCUGAUGGAUGGACCCGCGGUGCAUUAGCUAGUUGGUGAGGUAACGGCUCACCAAGGCCACGAUGCAUAGCCGACCUGAGAGGGUGAUCGGCCACAUUGGGACUGAGACACGGCCCAAACUCCUACGGGAGGCAGCAGUAGGGAAUCUUCGGCAAUGGACGAAAGUCUGACCGAGCAACGCCGCGUGAGUGAAGAAGGUUUUCGGAUCGUAAAACUCUGUUGUUAGAGAAGAACAAGGAUGAGAGUAACUGUUCAUCCCUUGACGGUAUCUAACCAGAAAGCCACGGCUAACUACGUGCCAGCAGCCGCGGUAAUACGUAGGUGGCAAGCGUUGUCCGGAUUUAUUGGGCGUAAAGCGAGCGCAGGCGGUUUCUUAAGUCUGAUGUGAAAGCCCCCGGCUCAACCGGGGAGGGUCAUUGGAAACUGGGAGACUUGAGUGCAGAAGAGGAGAGUGGAAUUCCAUGUGUAGCGGUGAAAUGCGUAGAUAUAUGGAGGAACACCAGUGGCGAAGGCGGCUCUCUGGUCUGUAACUGACGCUGAGGCUCGAAAAGCGUGGGGAGCAAACAGGAUUAGAUACCCUGGUAGUCCACGCCGUAAACGAUGAGUGCUAAGUGUUGGAGGGUUUCCGCCCUUCAGUGCUGCAGCUAACGCAUUAAGCACUCCGCCUGGGGAGUACGACCGCAAGGUUGAAACUCAAAGGAAUUGACGGGGGCCCGCACAAGCGGUGGAGCAUGUGGUUUAAUUCGAAGCAACGCGAAGAACCUUACCAGGUCUUGACAUCCUUUGACCACUCUAGAGAUAGAGCUUCCCCUUCGGGGGCAAAGUGACAGGUGGUGCAUGGUUGUCGUCAGCUCGUGUCGUGAGAUGUUGGGUUAAGUCCCGCAACGAGCGCAACCCUUAUUGUUAGUUGCCAUCAUUCAGUUGGGCACUCUAGCAAGACUGCCGGUGACAAACCGGAGGAAGGUGGGGAUGACGUCAAAUCAUCAUGCCCCUUAUGACCUGGGCUACACA